UACGUAGGAUGCAAGCGUUGUCCGGAAUUAUUGGGCGUAAAGAGCGCGCAGGCGGUAUGACAAGUCAGAUGUGAAAGAGGCCGGCUUAACCGGCAAGGGUCAUUUGAAACUGUCAGACUAGAGUGCAGCAGAGGAUAGUGGAAUUCCCGGUGUAGUGGUGAAAUGCGUAGAUAUCGGGAGGAACACCAGUGGCGAAGGCGGCGAACUGGACAGUAACUGACACUCAACUGCGAAAGCGUGGGGAGCAAACAGG
rnacentral:rRNA from 1 species